rnacentral:misc_RNA from 1 species
CCGAGCGAGGGCCUCCCGGGCCCGACCUCCCACCCCCUGACAAACGACCGGUUUGCCUCGGGGGCGACCCGGCCGUCCGGAAGGAGAGAGCCGGGUGCCCCCGGAGGACACCCACUCUGCGUCUUUGCGUCGGAGUCUGAAAGAAAAUGAAAAGCA